GGUAUUUUUUAAUCCCUUCCCAGAUCAUUCAAGCACAGAUUUAAAACAAUGAAUGAUGGUACGAUUCGGCGAUGGAGGGCAGGGAAACGACACAAUGCCCAUUUGAAGUCAAACAUAUCAAAACAGG